GCAGACCCCCUGGCUCUUCUAGCAAAAAGCAGCAGUUGGAUGGCUCGGGGUCAGCAGGAGUUGGAUUUACCCCACAUGUCAUCACCGUAAAAGCUGGAGAGGAUGUAUCUUCGAAAAUAAUGUCAUUUUCACAGAAUGGUCCUAGAGCUGUUUGUAUCCUUACAGCAAAUGGAGCAAUAUCCAAUGUGACUCUACGUCAACCAGCCAUGUCUGGUGGAACCGUGACUUACGAGGGGCGAUUCGAGAUUUUGUCGCUAUCUGGGUCCUAUCUCCUCUCUGAGAAUGGCAGCCAGCGGAGUCGAACUGGAGGUCUAAGUGUUUCAUUAUCUGGUCCAGAUGGUAGAGUAUUAGGUGGUGGGGUGGCUGGUCUUCUAACGGCAGCGUCUCCUGUACAGGUGGUCGUGGGGAGCUUCGUCACUGAUGGGGUGCACAAGGAAUUGAGACAAGUAAACCAAAUAGAACAGUCCCCUGUUACUGCACCCCAUAAACUUGCUCCAAUCCGUG
rnacentral:misc_RNA from 1 species